AUUGAACGCUGGCGGCAUGCUUUACACAUGCAAGUCGAACGGCAGCAUGGGCUUCGGCCUGAUGGCGAGUGGCGAACGGGUGAGUAAUAUAUCGGAACGUACCCAAGAGUGGGGGAUAACGUAGCGAAAGUUACGCUAAUACCGCAUACGAUCUACGGAUGAAAGCAGGGGACCGCAAGGCCUUGUGCUCCUGGAGCGGCCGAUAUCUGAUUAGCUAGUUGGUAGGGUAAAGGCCUACCAAGGCAUCGAUCAGUAGCUGGUCUGAGAGGACGACCAGCCACACUGGAACUGAGACACGGUCCAGACUCCUACGGGAGGCAGCAGUGGGGAAUUUUGGACAAUGGGGGCAACCCUGAUCCAGCAAUGCCGCGUGAGUGAAGAAGGCCUUCGGGUUGUAAAGCUCUUUUGUCAGGGAAGAAACGGUUGUGGCUAAUAUCCAUGACUAAUGACGGUACCUGAAGAAUAAGCACCGGCUAACUACGUGCCAGCCGCCGCCGUAAGAC
rnacentral:rRNA from 1 species